rnacentral:rRNA from 1 species
AUUGAACGCUGGCGGCAGGCCUAACACAUGCAAGUCGAACGAGUGGCGGACGGGUGAGUAAUGUCUGGGAAACUGCCCGAUGGAGGGGGAUAACUACUGGAAACAGUAGCUAAUACCGCAUACCAUCGGAGGGGCCCAGAUGGGAUUAGCGAGUGGGUGGGGUAACGGCUCACCUAGGCGACGAUCCCUCGCGGGUCUGAGAGGAUGACCAGCCACACUGGAACUGAGACACGGUCCAGACUCCUACGGGAGGCAUCAGUGGGGAAUAUUGCACAAUGGGCGCAAGCCUGAUGCAGCCAUGCCGCGUGUAUGAAGAAGGCCUUCGGGUUGUAAAGUACUUUCAGCGAGGAGGCGUUACUCGCAGAAGAAGCACCGGCUAACUCCGUGCCAGCAGCCGCGGUAAUUC